rnacentral:rRNA from 1 species
UGGGGGAUAUUGCACAAUGGGCGAAAGCCUGAUGCAGCGACGCCGCGUGGGGGAUGAAGGCCUUCGGGUUGUAAACUUCUUUUGCUCUGAACAAGGCGCACCAUGGGGUGUGUUGAGUGUAGGGGUUGAUUAGCGCCGGCUAACUACGUGCCAGCAGCCGCGGUAAUACGUAGGGCGCGAGCGUUGUCCGGAAUUAUUGGGCGUAAAGGGCUUGUAGGUGGCUGGUUGCGUCUGUCGUGAAAGCUCAUGGCUUAACUGUGGGUUUGCGGUGGGUACGGGCUGGCUUGAGUGCAGUAGGGGAGGCUGGAAUUCCUGGUCUAGCGGUGGAAUGCGCAGAUAUCAGGAGGAAUACCGGUUGCGAAGGCGGGUCUCUGGGCUGUUACUGACACUGAGGAGCGAAAGCAUGGGGAGCGAACAGG